CCCUCACCAACUUCCUGUGGUUACAAUCUACUUUGUCUCUCUUGGAUUUACCUGCAUAUACAUUGUAUGCCUCCUCUCCAAGGUCAAAACCUGCUCCGAGGUGGACGAGCCGUAGCUCCCCGAAUGGGCUUAAGAAGAGGUGGUGUUCGAGGUCGUGGAGGUCCUGGGAGAGGGGGCCUAGGGCGUGGAGCUAUGGGUCGUGGCGGAAUCGGUGGUAGAGGUCGGGGUAUGAUAGGUCGGGGAAGAGGGGGCUUUGGAGGCAGAGGCCGAGGUCGUGGCCGAGGGAGAGGUGCCCUCACUCGCCCUGUAUUGACCAAGGAGCAGCUGGACAACCAAUUGGAUGCAUACAUGUCGAAAACUAAAGGACACCUGGAUGCUGAAUUGGAUGCCUACAUGGCACAGACAGAUCCUGAAACCAAUGAUUGAAGCCUGCCUGCCUGCCUGCCCACCUGUUAGACUCUUGUUAAAGUCACCACAUCUAUACAACAACCUUGAGAAAACAUGAGAAGAAACGUGAUCGAUGCUGGAAGGACAUGUCACAAUAGGCUGUGGACUUACCUGCCACCAAUUGGUGCAUUUAGUCCCUUCCGUCUACUUUUUGAUACUGUGUUAUAUGAAACCCUAUUUUCCUUUAAUUUGGUUGAGUUUGUUUUGUUGUUUAUUCAGUCACCCAGACUUCUAUUUGAACAGGAAUGCGUUGGCCUUGUGAGUAGAACAAUUUUCCAACCUCUGCCUGUCAUAUACUCUUGACAUUUUUAAAUAUUUCCUCUGUUGAUUUGUAUGAUCCCAGGAGGAGCCAGUAUUCUCACUAUUGGGUGGUCUUUGGGAUAGAGUUCUACAUCUUUCUUUAAA
rnacentral:lncRNA from 1 species